UACGUAGGGUGCGAGCGUUAAUCGGAAUUACUGGGCGUAAAGCGUGCGCAGGCGGUUCGUCGUGUCUGGUGUGAAAGCCCCGGGCUUAACCUGGGAAUGACAUUGGAAACUGGCGAACUGGAGUGUGGCAGAGGGGGGUGGAAUUCCGCGUGUAGCAGUGAAAUGCGUAGAGAUGCGGAGGAACACCGAUGGCGAAGGCAGCCCCCUGGGCUAACACUGACGCUCAGGCACGAAAGCGUGGGGAGCAAACAGG
rnacentral:rRNA from 1 species